UUGAACGCUGGCGGAAUGCUUUACACAUGCAAGUCGAGCGGCAGCGCGGGGGCAACCCUGGCGGCGAGCGGUGAACGGGUGAGUAACACAUCGGAACGUACCCAGUUGUGGGGGAUAGCCCGGCGAAAGCCGGAUUAAUACCGCAUACGACCUGAGGGUGAAAGCGGGGGAUCGCAAGACCUCGCGUGAUUGGAGCGGCCGAUGUCGGAUUAGCUAGUUGGUGGGGUAAAGGCCUACCAAGGCGACGAUCCGUAGCGGGUCUGAGAGGAUGAUCCGCCACACUGGGACUGAGACACGGCCCAGACUCCUACGGGAGGCAGCAGUGGGGAAUUUUGGACAAUGGGGGCAACCCUGAUCCAGCCAUGCCGCGUGAGUGAAGAAGGCCUUCGGGUUGUAAAGCUCUUUCAGACGGAAAGAAAUCGGGCGCGUGAAUAGCGUGCCUGGAUGACGGUACUGUCAGAAGAAGCACCGGCUAACUACGU
rnacentral:rRNA from 1 species